rnacentral:rRNA from 1 species
UACGGAGGGUGCGAGCGUUGUCCGGAAUCACUGGGCGUAAAGGGCGCGUAGGUGGCGGAGCAAGUCAACGGUGAAAGCUCGACGCUCAACGUCGAGUCGGCCGUCGAGACUGCUUUGCUCGAGCACUGUAGAGGCAGAUGGAAUUCCGGGUGUAGGCGGUGGAAUGCGUAGAGAUCCGGAAGAACACCGGUGGCGAAGGCGGUUGGACUGGGCCGUGGCUGGACG